GAUGAACGCUGGCGGCGUGCCUAAUACAUGCAAGUAGAACGCUGAAGCUUGGUGCUUGCCCCGAGCGGCUGAGUUGCGAACGGGUGAGUAACGCGUAGGUAACCUGCCUCUUAGCGGGGGAUAACUAUUGGAAACGAUAGCUAAUACCGCAUAAAAGUCGAUAUCGCAUGAUAUUGAUUUGAAAGGUGCAAAUGCAUAACUAAGAGAUGGACCUGCGUUGUAUUAGCUAGUUGGUGAGGUAACGGCUCACCAAGGCGACGAUACAUAGCCGACCUGAGAGGGUGAGCGGCCACACUGGGACUGAGACACGGCCCAGACCCCUACGGGAGGCAGCAGUAGGGAAUCUUCAGCAAUGGGGGCAACCCUGACCGAGCAACGCCGCGUGAGUGAAGAAGGGUGUCGGAUCGUAAAGCUGUGUUGUAAGAGAAGAACGAGUGUGAGAGUGGAAAGUUCACACUGUGACGGUACCUGACCAGAAAGGGACGGCUAACUACGUG
rnacentral:rRNA from 1 species